rnacentral:ncRNA from 1 species
GUGAGAGGUUGCACUGCCAGAAAAUUACAGGGCAUGCACUUUUUACGCACAUGAAAAUUACAAUUCCGUCUUGUUAUGUGUUUCAUGGACUGGCUGACCAAGCCAAUGAUGCUUAGCUGGUCAUUUUGGAUGAUCAGCCACACUGGGGCUGAGAUGCGGCCCGGACUCCUAUGGGGGCAGCAGUGGGGAAUGUUCGACAACGGGCAAAAGCCCGAUCCAGCAAUAUCGC